GUCUCUCUCUCUGUCUUGUUCGGCCUCCUUCCUCCAUGGCGGCUGCUAGGAGAAUUUCGAACGGGUUGGUCAAGCUCGGAUCAUCAUCGGCUUGAUCCCAUCGUUUCCCCAGCUCGUCGUCGAAUCUUCCGUCGGGGACUCGCUUCCGUGCUCUCCGUCAAAGGUGGGCUCUCAACAAUGUCCCAUUCGCGGCGAGCUGUCCCUCACCGUCUCUUGCCGAUCCUCAUUCUCGCCGUGCUAUUGGUUCACCCAUGCGUUGCAGACGUGGGCACCGCCGCUCAGUCUGAUCCUCCACAAACCUCCGCUUGGUUGCAGAUGCUGGGGAUGAGAUUUGGGACAACGGGGCGGCUUGUUGGAGACAAUAUAGGGUGCGGUGCAUAAGCGGCGACCGGCCGAAUGCCUGCAGACCGGUCCAGUGGAUGAACGUCACGAUUGUGGAACAGGCGUUCGGCGUGGGCUCCCGUUCAAACGGUGCCACCAUGAUGCUGUCCACGACUGCAUAUAGGGCCAUUGCCGAUCUGUCUGCCAAGUCCAUCAAGAUCGAAUUCGAACGGAUUUGAAGUGAUUAAGAGGAAACUUUGGAAAGCAAAGCAAGGGGAGAUUAAAUUGAUGCUUUCUUUUUUUGGGGAAUGAAAUUAUACGGGGCGAUUAUCAAUUGAGAAAAUCUUUUGUCCGGAGAAUCUUCAGUUUUCUUUCGCACUUGAACCACCCACUUGCAAGAGCAAGGUUUAUCCAGAAAACAAUCGAAUUCAUCCCAGUUCAAAUUGAGAUUUUGAGGUUUA